AUUGAACGCUGGCGGCAGGCCUAACACAUGCAAGUCGAGCGGAUGAAGAGAGCUUGCUCUCUGAUUUAGCGGCGGACGGGUGAGUAAUGCCUAGGAAUCUGCCUGGUAGUGGGGGAUAACGUCCGGAAACGGGCGCUAAUACCGCAUACGUCCUACGGGAGAAAGCAGGGGACCUUCGGGCCUUGCGCUAUCAGAUGAGCCUAGGUCGGAUUAGCUAGGUGGUGAGGUAAUGGCUCAACAAGGCGACGAUCCGUAACUGGUCUGAGAGGAUGAUCAGUCACACUGGAACUGAGACACGGUCCAGACUCCUACGGGAGGCAGCAGUGGGGAAUAUUGGACAAUGGGCGAAAGCCUGAUCCAGCCAUGCCGCGUGUGUGAAGAAGGUCUUCGGAUUGUAAAGCACUUUAAGUUGGGAGGAAGGGCAGUAAGUUAAUACCUUGCUGUUUUGACGUUACCGACAGAAUAAGCACCGGCUAACUUCGUGCCAGCAGCCGCCGUAAUAC
rnacentral:rRNA from 1 species